rnacentral:rRNA from 1 species
ACGCUGGCGGCGUGCCUAAUACAUGCAAGUCGAACGAGAGCGACCGGUGCUUGCACUGGUCAAUCUAGUGGCGAACGGGUGAGUAACACGUGGGUAACCUGCCCAUCAGAGGGGGAUAACAUUCGGAAACGGAUGCUAAAACCGCAUAGGUCCUUUAACCGCAUGGUUGAAGGAGGAAAAGAGGCGCAAGCUUCUGCUGAUGGAUGGACCCGCGGUGCAUUAGCUAGUUGGUGAGGUAACGGCUCACCAAGGCCGUGAUGCAUAGCCGACCUGAGAGGGUGAUCGGCCACAUUGGGACUGAGACACGGCCCAAACUCCUACGGGAGGCAGCAGUAGGGAAUCUUCCGCAAUGGACGCAAGUCUGACGGAGCAACGCCGCGUGAGUGAAGAAGGUUUUCGGAUCGUAAAACUCUGUUGUUAGAGAAGAACAAGUGCUAGAGUAACUGUUAGCGCCUUGACGGUAUCUAACCAGAAAGCCACGGCUAACUACGUGCCAGCAGCCGCGGUAAUACGUAGGUGGCAAGCGUUGUCCGGAUUUAUUGGGCGUAAAGCGAGCGCAGGCGGUUCCUUAAGUCUGAUGUGAAAGCCCCCGGCUCAACCGGGGAGGGCCAUUGGAAACUGGGGAACUUGAGUGCAGAAGAGGAGAGUGGAAUUCCAUGUGUAGCGGUGAAAUGCGUAGAUAUAUGGAGGAACACCAGUGGCGAAGGCGACUCUCUGGUCUGUAACUGACGCUGAGGCUCGAAAGCGUGGGUAGCAAACAGGAUUAGAUACCCUGGUAGUCCACGCCGUAAACGAUGAGUGCUAAGUGUUGGAGGGUUUCCGCCCUUCAGUGCUGCAGUUAACGCAUUAAGCACUCCGCCUGGGGAGUACGACCGCAAGGUUGAAACUCAAAGGAAUUGACGGGGACCC